rnacentral:rRNA from 1 species
AGUGUCGUAAGGGUGCGUAACACGUAUGCAAUCUGCCCUCAACAGGAGGAUAGCUCGCCGAAAGGCGAAUUAACACUCCAUAAGAUCGUGGUGUGGCAUCACACAGCGAUUAAAACUCCGGUGGUUGAGGAUGAGCAUGCGGAUGAUUAGCUAGUUGGUGAGGUAACGGCUCACCAAGGCGAUGAUCAAUAGGGGAACUGAGAGGUUGAUCCCCCACACUGGCACAGAGAUACGGGCCAGACUCCUACGGGAGGCAGCAGUAGGGAAUAUUGGACAAUGGGCGCAAGCCUGAUCCAGCCAUGCCGCGUGCAGGAAGAAGGCUUUCUGAGUUGUAAACUGCUUUUGCCAGGGGAUAAAAAGUCCCUGCGGGGAAAAUUGAAGGUACCUGGUGAAUAAGCCACGGCUAACUACGUGCCAGCAGCCGCGGUAAUACGUAGGUGGCAAGCGUUGUCCGGAUUUAUUGGGUUUAAAGGGUGCGUAGGUGGUUUCCUAAGUCAGUUGUGAAAUACGGCAGCUUAACUGUCGAGGUGCAAUUGAUACUGGGAAACUUGAGUACUGAUGAGGUAUGCGGAAUGGACGGUGUAGCGGUGAAAUGCUUAGAUAUCGUCCAGAACACCGAUAGCGAAGGCAGCAUACUAAGGAGUAACUGACGCUGAGGCACGAAAGUGUGGGGAUCAAACAGGAUUAGAUACCCUGGUAGUCCACACUGU